AUUUCGCAGCUCCCUUGCAGCAGGUAGCUGAGGGAAAGGUUGCUAAGGAGUGGGGGAGAGAUUUUGGCAGCUCGGGAAGGGGGCUGUGGCUGCGGAGUUUCAAUCCGAAGCUAGGGGAAGGUACUACCAAAGCUGUGAGAAGGUAAUUGAGUGCUUAGACGCAUAAUUGAUGCUAUAUAAGUUAUAAAUAUGAAGUAUGAAUGCUGAUUUUGGGAGUUUGUGUUCUCAGCAGCUGGAAUCUUCACUUUAAACUGAGUAUUACAAUCUUAUGAGCUGAUUUUGAAUGUAAUUUAACCAGAGGAAAGUGAGAAUUCAAGUUGGGAAUCUACGCAAGCUGAAUUCCAGCAUAUUCUAAGAAAUCGCAUAGGUGUACUAACACUGUUUGAGCAGUGUUCGCAGCAGGUUUGCCAAAGGCUAUCGGAUUGUUCUCGGCUGAUAUUUAGGAGCUUUUGGAGGUUAAGGUGAGUACCUUAACCUGAACCAAAGCAGGGGUUCAAGCUACAGCCGUGUGCAAGGUGCGAAGAUCACUUUGGGCUGAACAUUGAGCCCCUUUUUGGGCUGAAUUAAACUGAGUUUGGGAGUACUUCAACCUGAAUUAAGCAGAGGUUUAGUUUCAGUCUAAGCCUAGAGCCAUCCACUACGGAAGAGGUUAGGGAUCGCGGCAAGGGAGUCGCGUCUAGCUAGAGAUAGCGUGGAGCCCUACUAGGUGAUCACCUCGCUACCUGGACAUAUGGACGAGAGUGAUGUGUACCCUAUGUAGAGAGACUACCAUUUCUGUAUAUAUAGUUUUGGGUGACUCUAUGAUGUAUAUUUGUUUAGAACAGUGGAUUUACAGUUUUGGGUUUUAUCUUUUGUUGAGCUUUGUAGGGUUAUACUUACUUUUCUCUAGUAAUAGUAC